rnacentral:rRNA from 1 species
CCCCUAGACGUUCUGGGCUGCACGCGCGCUACAAUAAUACGCACAGCGAGUAUCACCGAGCUCGAAAGGGCAAGGUAAACAAUAGAAAAGGUACUGUAAUGGUUAUAGAUCCUUGUAAUUAUUGAUCUUCAACGAGGAAUUCCUAGUAAGUAUGUGUCAUCAUCACGCACUGAUUACGUCCCUGCCCUUUGUACACACCGCCCGUCGCUCCUACCGAUUGGGUGAGCCGAUGAGACUCUCGGAUGUAGGCUAUUCAUAGCCCGCAGAAGAGAUUUGAAUCGUAGCGCUUAGAGGAAGGAGAAGUCGUAACA